AAAAAAGAAGAAAGAAGAAGCAGCGAGGAAAAAACAAGAGCAGGAAGCAGCAAAACUGGCAAAAAUGAAGAUUCCACCACAUGAAAUGUUUAAAGCGGAACAUGACAAAUAUUCCAUGUUUGAUGAAAAUGGAUUUCCCACCCAUGAUACAGAAGGCAAAGAACUCAGCAAAGGACAAAUUAAGAAGCUAAAGAAACUUUAUGAAACCCAAGAAAAGCUAUACAAGGAGUAUCUACAAAUGGUUCAGAAUGGAAGUGCAAAUUGAAAACAGCAGGACUUUUUUUUUAGAAGGCGAGUGCUGGGUCACCAUUGAAGAAGUGAGCAUAUACUGAUGCUCAAUUUUCUGUUUACACUUUCUAUUAUGUGCAAAGUAAAAAUCCUGUUUACGUGGAUUAAUAAUGUCAUCUGGAAAGUCAAUAAAAAUCCAUUCUUAAAAAAAGCCAACCUGUAAGAAGUUUCUUCACAACAACAGUACCAGGUUGAAUUGUUGCCAGUUCUAUCUGGGAAGGUGCUGCUCAGUCAGCAAAUCCACACACGGAUUCUUGUUUAUUAUAGCUGUCCAGGCUUUGGUUAAUUUGUCCUGCAUACUGAUCUCUAUCUAAGACUUACUGUAGCUUGCAUUCUGGAAUGUCACAGUCAGCAAAAUUUACUACUAAAUGCAAGCUGAGUAAUAUUGUCCCACAGUAAGAACAGUAUUUUCCAGAUGACCUUAGUAUCUUUACAUAAGCAGGAAAAGUGGGUAGUUCCACUAUGAUACUUACUCUAGCUGCUGUUAUUAAAAACUUUCAUAACUAUACCCAGAACACUUUGCAUAGUAGAAGCUAACAGUCCCUUUGUUGCAAAAGGGAACAGAUCAUCAUCUUUGCGCAACCUGCAAUUGCAAUCAAGUGGGUUAAGUACAAAGCAAGUGCACCU